rnacentral:rRNA from 2 species
GGAUUGGUGCCUUCGGGAACUGUGAGACAGGUGCUGCAUGGCUGUCGUCAGCUCGUGUUGUGAAAUGUUGGGUUAAGUCCCGCAACGAGCGCAACCCUUAUCCUUUGUUGCCAGCGAUUAGGUCGGGAACUCAAAGGAGACUGCCAGUGAUAAACUGGAGGAAGGUGGGGAUGACGUCAAGUCAUCAUGGCCCUUACGACCAGGGCUACACACGUGCUACAAUGGCGCAUACAAAGAGAAGCGACCUCGCGAGAGCAAGCGGACCUCAUAAAGUGCGUCGUAGUCCGGAUUGGAGUCUGCAACUCGACUCCAUGAAGUCGGAAUCGCUAGUAAUCGUGGAUCAGAAUGCCACGGUGAAUACGUUCCCGGGCCUUGUACACACCGCCCGUCACACCAUGGGAGUGGGUUGCAAAAGAAGUAGGUAGCUUAACCUUCGGGAGGGCGCUUACCACUUUGUGAUUCAUGACUGGGGUGAAGUCGUAACAAGGUAACCGUAGGGGAACCUGCGGUUGGA